GGAAGGAUCAUUCACAAACGAGUGUUUUAUGGCACUCUUUAAAAAUCCAUAUCCACCUUGUGUGCAAUGUUUGUUGGGAAAGUCUUUUCUUUCCCUUCAUAAAUAUCAACCUAUAUCUUUAACAACAUUCGUCUGAUAACAUAUUAUGAAUAUACUUAAUUCAAAAUAUAACUUUCAACAACGGAUCUCUUGGCUCUCGCAUCGAUGAAGAACGCAGCGAAAUGCGAUACGUAAUGUGAAUUGCAGAAUUCAGUGAAUCAUCGAAUCUUUGAACGCAUAUUGCGCUCUUUGGUAUUCCGAAGAGCAUGCUUGUUUGAGUAUCAGUAAACACCUCAACCUCUCUUUUUUGAUAAAAAAAAGGGAGGGUGGACUUGAGCUAUCCCAACGACCUUCACCGGUAGGCGGGCGGCUUGAAAUGCAGGUGCAGCUGGACUUUUAUCUGAGCUAAAAGCAUAUCUAUUUAGUCCUCGUCAAACAGGAUUAUUACUUUUGCUGCAGCUAACAUAAAGGAUAAUUGUCCUCUUUGCUGACUGAUGCAGGAUUUUACGACACUUUAUGUGUUGUUCAACUCGAUCUCAAAUCAAGUAAGACUACCCGCUGAACUUAAGCAUAUCAAUAAGCGGAGGAAAAGAAACUAACAAGGAUUCCCCUAGUAACGGCGAGUGAAGCGGGAUGAGCUCAAAUUUGAAAUCUGGCUGGUUUACUAGUCCGAGUUGUAAUUUAAAGGAGCUCGUUAGGCAAUGGCACCACAUACGGGGCUGUCACCCUCUAUGGCGGUCCGUUCUAAGACACUUCUGCGCCACUGCCAAUUGAGCUUCCCACCUUUAGAUUACAAUUCGCCAUGCGGAGCAUGGAGAUUUCCAGGUUGGGCUCUUGCCGCUUCACUCGCCGUUACUGGGGCAAUCUUAGUUAAUUUCUUUUCCUCCGCUUAGUGAUAUGCUUAAGUUCAGCGGGUGAUCCUGCUUGAUUUCAGAUACAAAAAGAGUUUGAGGCUCUAAGCACUUGCAGAAUAAACUGCGCUGACUCUACUCUCAAUGAGUUUUCACAUUGCUUACAAUGUGAACUCAUUGAGAGUAGAGUCAGCGCAGUUUAUUCUGCAAGUGCUUAGAGCCUCAAACUCUUUUUGUAUCUGAAAUCAAGCAGGAUCACCCGCUGAACUUAAGCAUAUCACUAAGCGGAGGAAAAGAAAUUAACUAAGAUUGCCCCAGUAACGGCGAGUGAAGCGGCAAGAGCCCAACCUGGAAAUCUCCAUGCUCCGCAUGGCGAAUUGUAAUCUAAAGGUGGGAAGCUCAAUUGGCAGUGGCGCAGAAGUGUCUUAGAACGGACCGCCAUAGAGGGUGACAGCCCCGUAUGUGGUGCCAUUGCCUAACGAGCUCCUUUCGAAGAGUCGGGUUGUUUUGAAUUGCAGCCCUAAUCCGGGAGAUAGACUUCUUCUAAGGCUAAAUAUUUAUGGGAAACCGAUAGCGAACAAGUACUGUGAAGGAAAGAUGAAAAGAACUUUGAAAAGAGAGUCAAAAGACUUGAAAUCGUUGAGAAGGAAGCGGUAGAAAUUUAUUCUUCUGGUGCGAACAAAGGCAUUCGUCAAACCAUUGGAGGAAAGCUGCACUUCAACGGCAGCCCACUUCACUUGGGGAAGCGAUAGCUGGGUUCUCACCGUGAGGCAAAAUGGGGUGUCGCUCCCUCAUAAGCUUUGUUGACCUGGGUGGCUUCGGCUAUCAGUCUGCUUGUGCUGGAGGGCGUGGCGCCUGAGGAAGCCUUGUGCGAUUUUGCCAAAAUGGUUUUUACCGACCCGUCUUGAAACACGGACCAAGGAGUCUAACAUAUAUGCGAGUGUGCUGGCGCAAAAACCAACACGCGUAAUGAAAGUGAUUGAUGCCACUACAACUGCAGCAUCAACCGACCAUGAUCCUCUGGUGAAAGGUUUGAGUAUGAGCAUAUCUGUUAGGACCCGAAAGAUGGUGAACUAUGCCUGGGUAGGGUGAAGCCAGGGGAAACUCUGGUGGAGGCUCGUAGCGGUUCUGACGUGCAAAUCGAUCGUCAAACUUGGGUAUAGGGGCGAAAGACUAAUCGAACCAUCUAGUAGCUGGUUCCCUC
rnacentral:misc_RNA from 1 species